rnacentral:rRNA from 1 species
CCUACGGGAGGCAGCAGUGGGGAAUAUUGCGCAAUGGGCGAAAGCCUGACGCAGCGACGCCGCGUGAGGGAUGAGGGUCUUCGGAUUGUAAACCUCUGUCAGCAGGGAAGAACGGUCACUGUGCUAAUCAGCAGUGAAUUGACGGUACCUGCAAAGGAAGCACCGGCUAACUCCGUGCCAGCAGCCGCGGUAAUACGGAGGGUGCGAGCGUUAAUCGGAAUUACUGGGCGUAAAGCGCUCGUAGGCGGUAUGUCAAGUCAAGGGUGAAAUCCCCGCGCUCAACGUGGGAACUGCCUUUGAAACUGGCAAACUGGAGUGUGUGAGAGGAUAGUGGAAUGCCAGGUGUAGGGGUGAAAUGCGUAGAUAUCUGGAGGAACAUCAGUGGCGAAGGCGACUAUCUGGCACAUAACUGACGCUGAGGAGCGAAAGCGUGGGUAGCAAACAGGAUUAGAUACCCCUGUAGUC